rnacentral:rRNA from 1 species
GACGAACCGAGCGAACGUUGUUCGGAAUCACUGGGCUUAAAGGGCGCGUAGGCGGGCUGCCAAGUCCGGGGUGAAAUCCUCCCGCUUAACGGGAGAACUGCCUCGGAUACUGGAAGUCUCGAGGAGGGUAGGGGCAUGCGGAACUGUGGGUGGAGCGGUGAAAUGCGUAGAUAUCUGGAGGAACACCGGUGGCGAAGGCGGCAUCCUGGACCACGACUGACGCUGAGUGAGCGAAAGCCAGGGGAGCAAACGGG